AGAGUUUGAUCAUGGCUCAGGAUGAACGCUGGCGGCGUGCCUAACACAUGCAAGUCGAGCGAUCUUCUUCGGAAGAGAGCGGCGGACGGGUGAGUAACGCGUGGGUAACCUGCCCUAUACACACGGAUAACAUACCGAAAGGUAUGCUAAUACGAGAUAAUAUAAGAAAUUCACAUGUUUUUCUUAUCAAAGCUGAGGCGGUAUAGGAUGGACCCGCGUCUGAUUAGCUAGUUGGUAAGGUAAUGGCUUACCAAGGCGACGAUCAGUAGCCGACCUGAGAGGGUGAUCGGCCACAUUGGAACUGAGACACGGUCCAAACUCCUACGGGAGGCAGCAGUGGGGAAUAUUGCACAAUGGGCGAAAGCCUGAUGCAGCAACGCCGCGUGAGCGAUGAAGGCCUUCGGGUCGUAAAGCUCUGUCCUCAAGGAAGAUAAUGACGGUACUUGAGGAGGAAGCCCCGGCUAACUACGUGCCAGCAGCCGCGGUAAUACGUAGGGGGCUAGCGUUAUCCGGAUUUACUGGGCGUAAAGGGUGCGUAGGUGGUUUCUUAAGUCAGGAGUGAAAGGCUACGGCUCAACCGUAGUAAGCUCUUGAAACUGGGAAACUUGAGUGCAGGAGAGGAAAGUGGAAUUCCUAGUGUGGCGGUGAAAUGCGUAGAUAUUAGGAGGAACACCAGUAGCGAAGGCGGCUUUCUGGACUGUAACUGACACUGAGGCACGAAAGCGUGGGGAGCAAACAGGAUUAGAUACCCCGGUAGUCCACGCCGUAAACGAUGAGUACUAGGUGUCGGGGGUUACCCCCCUCGGUGCCGCAGCUAACGCAUUAAGUACUCCGCCUGGGGAGUACGCUCGCAAGAGUGAAACUCAAAGGAAUUGACGGGGACCCGCACAAGUAGCGGAGCAUGUGGUUUAAUUCGAAGCAACGCGAAGAACCUUACCUAAGCUUGACAUCCUUUUGACCGAUGCCUAAUCGCAUUUUUCCCUUCGGGGACAGAAGUGACAGGUGGUGCAUGGUUGUCGUCAGCUCGUGUCGUGAGAUGUUGGGUUAAGUCCCGCAACGAGCGCAACCCUUGCCUUUAGUUGCCAGCAUUAAGUUGGGCACUCUAGAGGGACUGCCAGGGAUAACCUGGAGGAAGGUGGGGAUGACGUCAAAUCAUCAUGCCCCUUAUGCUUAGGGCUACACACGUGCUACAAUGGGUGGUACAGAGGGCAGCCAAGUCGUGAGGCCGAGCUAAUCCCUUAAAGCCAUUCUCAGUUCGGAUUGUAGGCUGAAACUCGCCUACAUGAAGCUGGAGUUACUAGUAAUCGCAGAUCAGAAUGCUGCGGUGAAUGCGUUCCCGGGUCUUGUACACACCGCCCGCCACACCAUGGGAGUUGGGGGCGCCCGAAGCCGGUUAGCUAACCUUUUGGAAGCGGCCGUCGAAGGUGAAACCAAUAACUGGGGUGAAGUCGUAACAAGU
rnacentral:rRNA from 1 species